rnacentral:rRNA from 1 species
UACGUAGGGUGCAAGCGUUAAUCGGAAUUACUGGGCGUAAAGCGUGCGCAGGCGGUUAUGCAAGACAGAGGUGAAAUCCCCGGGCUCAACCUAGGAACUGCCUUUGUGACUGCAUAGCUAGAGUACGGCAGAGGGGGAUGGAAUUCCGCGUGUAGCAGUGAAAUGCGUAGAUAUGCGGAGGAACACCGAUGGCGAAGGCAAUCCCCUGGGCCUGUACUGACGCUCAUGCACGAAAGCGUGGGGAGCAAACAGG